rnacentral:rRNA from 1 species
GUAGGGAAUUUUCGUCAAUGGGGGGAACCCUGAACGAGCAAUGCCGCGUGAGUGAAGAAGGUCUUCGGAUCGUAAAGCUCUGUUGUAAGCGAAGAACGGUCCGCAUAGGAAAUGAUGCGGGAGUGACGGUAGCUUACCAGAAAGCCACGGCUAACUACGUGCCAGCAGCCGCGGUAAUACGUAGGUGGCAAGCGUUAUCCGGAAUCAUUGGGCGUAAAGGGUGCGUAGGUGGCGGAUUAAGUCCGUAGUAAAAGGCAUUGGCUCAACCAAUGUAAGCUAUGGAAACUGGUCGGCUGGAGUGCAGAAGAGGGCGAUGGAAUUCCAUGUGUAGCGGUAAAAUGCGUAGAUAUAUGGAGGAACACCAGUGGCGAAGGCGGUCGCCUGGUCUGCAACUGACACUGAGGCACGAAAGCGUGGGGAGCAAAUAGGA